rnacentral:lncRNA from 1 species
CUAAGCACUGAUCCUGGGUGGCAAGGGGGCAAAUUCCCCCAAUCUGUGUUUAGGCACCUAAUUUACAGCUUGGUUUCAGCUUACAGCUAAGCUGGUCCAGCCAAAAGCAGCUCUGCUCCUUUCCUCUCCCUGCCAUAUGCUUCUGCUGCUUUGGAGAGCAGUCCAGUGACUGUACAGCUGCAGGGUGAAUCGAUCCAUUUGGCCAACCCCAGAAGACUAAUCCCGUGGAAAAAGCGAGCUGUUUCUCUUACUAUUGGCCAGAUGAAUCAGAGCAGCCUCCUUGAAGACUGGGGAGAGCUACUAAGAACACAGCUGAGUACAAGUACAAAGAAGUCACAAGAAGAGAAGAAUUGUUAUUUUCCACAUGUGGUAAGUGGAGGACAAAACUGACUUUAAAAUGUAACAUCUUGACCAGGACUUCCUUGUCAGUUAUCAGCCUGGUUACUCAGGAAACUAAAAUAUUUCUAACCAAGAAUAACUUCACUACAGUGAAGUGACAUACGCAUAACAUACGCAUAACAAGUCACCAAGACCUUAGAGGCUGAGACAACAGGUAGGAGGCUG